CGGGUGAGUAACGCGUGGGUAACCUGCCUUAUACUGGGGGAUAACAGCCAGAAAUGACUGCUAAUACCGCAUAAGCGCACAGAACCGCAUGGUUCGGUGUGAAAAACUCCGGUGGUAUAAGAUGGACCCGCGUUGGAUUAGCUAGUUGGCAGGGCAGCGGCCUACCAAGGCGGCGAUCCAUAGCCGGCCUGAGAGGGUGAACGGCCACAUUGGGACUGAGACACGGCCCAG
rnacentral:rRNA from 1 species